CUCAUCCUAAGAAAAGAACAUCAGGUGGAAAUUGCAGAAGGAACUGUCUGGAGAGUUGUAUUAUUAAUACAUUCCAGAAAUGGAGGAGGUGUGAUGAUUGAUACACAUGGUACACAUCUGCCUGCAAAAGGUUGUAAAGAGCUACUGGACACUGGGAGAACUGGACAAACUGGUCUCCUGAGGUUGCAGGCAGCUUGUGGUGGAUAAUUCCUUCAACAGGGAUGUCUUCAGGAUACAUCCAGCCUGAAGAUGCAGAACACAGUUUUGGAUGGACAUCUACAAAUGAAGCUCUUGAACAGGCUUGAAGGGAAGCUUAAUACUGUUUAACCAUACUGAGGCUUGAACAGCGGGAAAAAAAAACAGUAUGGAAAAAUUUGUCUGUACCUCAGGAUACAGCUGGGAAAACCAAAUCCAAGGUCACAGAGAAGUAACAGCAAAAUAUAUGCUUACAGAUGAAGAUCAUUUAGAGGAAGAAAAAAAAUCAUCACAGCAAAAAUCCUAUUAACAUCUAAGGAAAGGUGGAGAAGACAAGAAAGAGGCACCAUGAUGAAGGAGAUGCACAAGAAAGCUUACUGAAAGACUAGAAAAGGGGUAGAAAGAAACACCUCAAAAAGUUACAAAUAAAGAAGAGAAAGUUUAAAAGGUUUUAAAGGUUUGCUGACAGAUCCAAUAUAUAAGAUCAGAGGGUCCCUCAUGAGACAUAGUUUAAAUCCUCACAGCUUCUGACCAGAGCAUCUUCAACAGAGUUCAAUGGACAGAUUACAGUUGUAGAUAGAAAUGCAAGAAACCUCUGUAUGUGAAGUAACAACAAAAAAGUUAAUAGCUGAAAAAUAUAAUAAGAAAGGCAAAACAUAAUUUUCUGCAAGCAUUAUGCAAUGACACAUAAACUAAACAAAUGUUUAUUGUGCUCCACAGUUUUUAUUGUAUAAUAAAUUUAAAACAUAACUUACUCCUCCAGUAAGGGAAAGUAAACCAAAAACUCAGGGACAUCAACCACUUCUUCCAAGUGAAAAUCAUACUUGCAGCCAAAUAAGGGAUAGUCUCCCUUCUUUUCAAAUUUUACAUUGUACACAUCAUUCCCAAAUGAAUUAGUUUCUGAAGCUUCGAGUCUCUUUCUAUAGAAUGAGAUAUAAACAAACAUUUUUUUAUCAGUAUUGAACAGGCAGAGAAAACUACACAUAAGAAGCAUGAAAGUAUUUCUCCCAGUAAUACUCAGUGAUCUCUCCAGUUUCCCACUUCCCUUAUCUCAAAAGGCACUGAAACAAUGAAAUGAAGCAGCAUACUGGGUUUUAACAGGUUACUAUUCCCAUACAACAUAACAAGGACAAAAUGGACCUAGAAGAUGAAUUUUUAGCCUAGACACACAGACAAUCUACAUGGACAAGACAUGCUUCUAGAAACAACCAUAAAACCUUGACAGUUUUUCCCCAGGCUGUGGAAAUUUUGACACUAUUAAAGUCAUGACAGAGGGAUGAAGUGUAUGAAGACCUGUAUUCCCUAACAGAAGAGCCAUGACGACAUAAGACAAGGAAGGAUGAAAGGAACCACAAACUUCUAAAACUGUGGAGAAGAUGAAUAUUUUCUGUGCUCAAUGUGCUCUGCAUAUAACUUGACUGAGGCUCUGAACCGUUUCCCUGGCUAAGGUAAAACUGCACCUGGCUAAACAACCAUCCUGGACACAGGGAGACAAACAGGGCUCCCUUUCAUUAGCAUUAUAAUGAAUGCAGAUGUUAUUUGAAAGU